GUGCCAGCCGCCGCGGUAAAACGUAGGAGACAAGCGUUAUCCGGAGUUACUGGGCGUAAAGGGCGUGCAGGUGGUGCGGUAAGGCUGUUGUGAAAGCGCCUGGCUUAACCGGGCGAGGCCAAUGGCGACUGCCGGACUGGAGGACGGCUGAGGGGUGUGGAAUUCCGGGUGUAGUGGUGAAAUGCGUAGAGAUCCGGAGGAACACCAGAGGCGAAGGCGGCACCCUAAGCCGUACCUGACACUGAGACGCGACAGCACGGGGAGCAAACGGGAUUAGAAACCCCAGUAGUCC
rnacentral:rRNA from 1 species